rnacentral:misc_RNA from 1 species
GAUGAAGAACGCAGUGAAAUGCGAUAAUUAAUGUGAAUUGCAGAAUUCAGUGAAUCAUCGAGUCUUUGAACGCACAUUGCGCCCCCUGGUAUUCCGGGGGGCAUGUCUGUCCGAGCGUCAUUGCUGCCCUCAAGCACGGCUUGUGUGUUGGGCUUCCGUCCCUGGCAACGGGGACGGGCCCAAAAGGCAGUGGCGGCACCAUGUCUGGUCCUCGAGCGUAUGGGGCUUUGUCACCCGCUCCCGUAGGUCCAGCUGGCAGCUAGCCUCGCAACCAAUCUUUUUAACCAGGUUGACCUCGGAUCAGGUAGGGAUACCCGCUGAACUUAAGCAUAUCAAUAAGCGGAGGA